rnacentral:tRNA from 1 species
GCCUUCGUGGUGUAAUGGUCAGCACACUCAAAGCGUAAUUGAAAGGCCAGAGGUUCGAUUCCCGGCGAGGGUA